rnacentral:lncRNA from 1 species
CCCCUCCGCUCCUAGCGCGCGGGAGUCGGGAUUGUGCUUGCACGACUUCCCCCGGCCCGCGGCCUGUGAGCCCAGGUCCUGGGGUGAACCGAGCGCUCGCUCGUUCGUCAGACCGUAGCGCUCCAGCGGCUGUCCUUACUGUGUAGUAGCCAAAGCUGAGGGUGAUGACUGUGAACCAGAACAGACUGCCUCGCUGAAAAGUCACUUGGAACUCUUCUGUGGCAUCUGAAGCAGAUGGACGAAGCCAAGAGGGCCGAGAGUAUCUCAGCACCUAGAAAUGGACAAGGCUGGUUAUUAGAACAAAGAUUUCGCAGGUGGUGAGUCUCAAAGGCGAAGCUGAAUGAUUUGAUAUUUCAUGAAAUUCAGAAAUAAUUUGGAGCUUUUCAAACCUGGGAUAUGGAAGAAACUGACACUCCUGUUCUCUGGGAAGGAUCUCCCAUUAACCAGUCAUAAUGAAGUAAGAACAAGAAGAUGGGGAAGAGGAAGUGUAAAACCGUGGCUUAAAUUUGCCAAGGAUAAGCUGAGUGUACUUCAGCAGUCAUUUG